UGGGGAAUUUUGGACAAUGGGGGAAACCCUGAUCCAGCCAUCCCGCGUGUGCGAUGAAGGCCUUCGGGUUGUAAAGCACUUUUGGCAGGAAAGAAACGUCAUGGGUUAAUACCCCGUGAAACUGACGGUACCUGCAGAAUAAGCACGGGCUAACUACGUGCCAGCAGCCGCGGUAAUACGUAGGGUGCAAGCGUUAAUCGGAAUUACUGGGCGUAAAGCGUGCGCAGGCGGUUCGGAAAGAAAGAUGUGAAAUCCCAGAGCUCAACUUUGGAACUGCAUUUUUAACUACCGUGCUAGAGUGUGUCAGAGGGAGGUGGAAUUCCGCGUGUAGCAGUGAAAUGCGUAGAUAUGCGGAGGAACACCGAUGGCGAAGGCAGCCUCCUGGGAUAACACUGACGCUCAUGCACGAAAGCGUGGGGAGCAAACAGG
rnacentral:rRNA from 1 species